UAGAUCACUUGGCAGCUAAUUGUGCCUCUGUUGCUGAGAGGAUCUUUGGAUAAAAGCCAUUGCACUCCAGAUGUGCUGACCCCUGAUAUUUCCCCCAAUGUGGGAAAUUCAACUACAUAAUUUAUAGUAGUGUGGGACUGCAUUUGCACUGUCCCCAC